CCUUGCACCUGUAUUUUGGAUGUGCUCAUAUUGCAGCUUGAUGAGGCUUGUAAAGAGGCACAUUGAUAUAGUUUAAAAAACAAAGCCAGCUUUGAGGCGCUUCUUGUCUGAAGAAAGCACACUUCAAGUUUCCUACCCUGUGCUGGCGCUUUACAAUUUCAGAUUUGAGCACAGGUACUGCAGAGGAAAAUCACUGGAGGAGGACUUGAAUUAAUUCUGUGCUAAAAGAGCUGUUCUAAACAGAAAUACUGCUGAUGCACUUUCCCUUUUCACCUUACAAGAAGAGAUUAUAUAUGCAUCACCUUGCUUUUACUAUAGUCUGUGCAAAUAUCAUUCUUGCAACAACUUGAGGCUAUCUGUGCUGUAUUUUAAUACUCCAAAUACACCGUUGUUACGAGCACAUUUUACUGAUGUUAAAUGCUUUGAUCAGAAGUGCGGUGGAUAUUGUGACCGAGCAGCAAAAUAGGAAUACAUAAAACAUUAGCUGACAUUGCUAAAGAGAAACAAAACCAUUGUUAUGUAGUACAGUCUGCUCUGGAUGUAGCAUUCCUAUUUAGAGCAUGGCUAUUAAGUUUAGAAAGACCAAAUACGUAUACAGCUUUGUAAAGUUUAGCCUGGUCCUUGAUAACCUUAUAUGAGGCCAUUAACACUAAGAAAUCUACUGUCAAGAAACUGCAGUAAAGGACUAAAUUGAAAACAGAACAGGCGAGUCUUUAUUGCUACACUGUGCCAAUUAUAUCACCACGUUGUUUCUUCACUGCAAGACUGAUAAGAAUCUCCAAAUGCUUCGAUCCCGAGGGACUCGGACAUGCCUGGUGAAAAUUGGAAAUCAAUAGGAGUCUAUAAUCGCAAGCAAACUGCAUCGUUUUCAUUGCUGUGAGCGAUGGCAGCCAUCCACGGUGACGCUGCCGACACACUUCCACCAAGCCUGUCUGUUGGAGCCUUCUGCUCACAUGAAUCUUUUGUAACUUGGGAGGAAAGAGGAGAAUUCAUUUUCUGGAUGUGGAUUUUAAAUGUAUUGGCAGUCCUGCUGAGGAGGCAAACAAUAUUUAGUUUCCAGUCCUGACAGUAGACUGCAAAUUCAUCUCAGGUCUGGCUUGAAGCAAGCUCCGUCUCCAAAGCUGAGAGGUAAUUUAGUCUCCAGGGUUAUUCUGUCCUGUCCUUUGCUUAAGCAAAGGCUACCAAUUCAACGUGACAAUGAGAAUUGCUAUCCACUAGGGGCCAAACUAAGCCCACCAAAUGCUUGAUUUCCUUCCUGGAGCACUUUUUUCCCCUACAGUUGAAACUACCCACUUUUUUUUCUUGAUUUUUUUGAGCCCACUACUUGAUGUAUUCAAUUCUAGACAGUCCUUGAACUCCCUAAGUCUCAGACUGAA